AAAGACCAGAGCAUAACUGAAGAUCCUAUAGGUGGCCUUCUCUCUGGGGAGAAAGCUUCGAGGCGGUGAAGACAAUGCAGAGCUUGCGGUGGGAGGAGCCACUGGGGCGCGAGUGGAGGCUAAUGAAAUGACGGGCACCAGAGAUAUGGACUUCUCCCAGGAACGGCACGCGGAGAGAAGGAAAAGGCACCAGCCCAAAGGGGACUUACCUCGUAGGAAAGAGAUUUCGCACAGUUCUCCGGGACUGAAGCACAGACAGAGGUGGCUCAAUGGUGGGCAGGACCACACCUUGGCCGGGGCUCCAUAGCUGUGCAAAUCCCUGACUUCUAUUUAAACUUUGAUCUCUCCUUAGGGCCUGUGGGUUUUGGUGACAUUUGCUGGAUCUCUGUAUCUCUCUUCCCAAUGUGGCCACAUUAAAUAAAUCUUCCACUCUG